UGGUCGUUAUGAUAUGUGUACAGUACAUGGACACAACGUAUUCCAAUAACGCACCGUUAUUAUAAUCAUAUAAGGAUUUCAGUGGACAUUAUUUUCUGUCAAAUUUUAUUCUGUUUUGGAUUUGUUAUUACACUGCGCUGGAUAAGAGACCUUAGUCUAUAUCAUUUAGCCGGUUCAUUAUGUUAUUCAUGGGCGCUACUACUAGAGGACUGUUACUGGUGGACUAUGUUCAAUGCUGAUGUAAAGAUAUGGAAAUCGUCAACAGCUAAGAAAGGAUACUCUGCAUAAAUCAGUAAUUGCUGCCGAAUAAUGACAGAUGAUGAAGACGAGCCUGCUUGGACCCCUUGGUUGGCUUAUCGUGGCGUUACUACCGCUCUGCAUCCAGAGUUACUCAUUCAACACUGGCAAUGUGUCGUUCAUAAAGUAUGUGCCAAACUGGACGGAAACGGGCACGCAGGCCGUCCGCGUCCGAUUCAGAACUGUAAGAGCAAAUGUGAUGCUGAUGUCACAUAGCUUGAUCGCGAUGAACGGACCCCUGCCCUACUACGCCAUGUAUGUAAUGCUUCGGAAUGGCGAAUUAGAGGUGCUUCACAAAUAUAAUGAUUACGAGGAGGUUCUGCAGUUAGGAAAAGGUCUUAACUACGAUAAGUGGCAUGAUGUCACCGUCACCAAAGACCCACUGUCAGGGAACCUUAACGUAGAGUUAGACAAGGAGCGCAAAUCCACCAUUCUGAGGUCUUACCAAGUUGCAGGUGCUAGGGUUUUUCUCGGCUCUCAGGCCGCUACUUCACAGGUGCUAUUUGGAGAUUUAGAAACACCUUCAUCUUUUGUAACCGUCGAGUCUUUUGUUGGUUGUAUCGAGAACAUCAAGUUCAGUUCGUCAGUUAGUGAUCUACUGCGUUAUGUAGACUAUAGGAGCAGACAAGGUGUCCGAGAUGGUUGCAUCAACCUCUGUGAUAAUAAUCCUUGUCAGUCGGGCGGAGUCUGUGUGAAUGAGUACACAGACCGAUUCUGUGACUGUCUGGGCACGGGCAGGGAAGGCAAAUACUGCAAUAAAGAUGGUGUGACAACAAUGACAUUGCGGGGUUUUGAGUGGGUAACCUACGAUAUAUACUCAUCUUAUGAAAGAUCUCAUCUUCCAGUCACAAGAAUUACGUUAGAAUUCAAGACUUUCCAUGCCAAUGGUAUACUGCUGUAUGGAGGCAACCCCUACCCAAUCCAUAACCAUAUAGCAGUCUCACUUUACAACGGUACCAUCUACGUAUCGGUCGCAUUUGGAGACAGCGAGGUGUCAGCAUAUGUUGGGAGGAAUCUUAACGAUGACCAGUGGCAUAAUUUGUCUAUAAUUCAUCAAGAGAAGGAUAUAUCUGUGCGGUUAGACCUGAUACCGCCAAGUUUACUGAAGGCCCGUGGGAAACUACAUCACUUGUAUCUAAAUCCUACUGUCUUUGUCGGAGGAGGAGAACGCUUUAAGAACAUCCGGGAUCCUGGUCUGAAAAGUAAGCUGCCGUUCGUCGGAUGCAUCCGCAACAUCUUCUUCAACCAUUACUCCAUCUUGGAGCUCUUGAAGGCCGAGGCCCAACAAGCCACGUAUCAUGGCGGGAUCGGCCCGGUCUUCCGCUGUGAAUCGCCCCGACACGUUAGCAUGUCAUUCAUUCAGAACAGCUCCCAGUUGACAAUUCACACCCACCCAAGUAACGAGAUCAGUGUACAGUUUGACUUCCGAACGACGGGAAUGCGUGGCGUACUAUUCCAUACCGAGUUCAGGACGGACAAAUAUUUUUUCAGAGGAUACUUGCAGAUUUCUUUAUCAGAUAGUAGGAUAUAUGUUGAGUUUGUCCCAGUACGAAAGACACCUGGAUUAUCAACUACUAUGUACGUCGGACAGAACUUCAGCGAUGCAGUGUGGCACAAUCUCAAGUUCCGUUACUACUCAAAAGGUGUGGCGGACAUUGAGGUGGAUCGGGUGAAGCAGAUGAUGACAUCAAAGAUGCAAAGGCCAUUCAUACAGACAGAGGGGGACUUUCACUUUGGUUACGCCCCUAUUGCUCAUCAGGUUGGCUUCAUUGGAUGUAUCCGUGGCCUGAUCGUUCAGGACCGUGCGAUAGAUCCAAGAAAGAUAGUGGGGACAAGCAAAGCCAACGAGAUCCUACUCGACGGCUGCUCGCUCUCCGAUCACUGCCAGAAUGACAGCCGCUGUGAGCAUAAUGCUGUCUGCAUCGGCGAUUGGUUUAAGACAUUCUGUGUCUGCCCUAGUGGUUAUGAAGGAAAGACAUGUCAUUUUGCCAAGUACAAGCGGUCAUGCGAUGAGUACUACCAAGCCGGUGACAUUAUGAAUGGCGUACACCUCAUUGACGUCGAUGGCAACGGCCCGCUUGAGCCGAAGUAUGUCAUGUGUCAGAUGGGUGUCGAUAAGUUCGGCACCCGCACUGGCCUGACCAGCAUCGAGCAUAACCUUGGCCCAAGGUCGAAAGUUCGUGCGGCGGGAAUGUUCAACUUGAAGAAGGUUAUAUCGUACAGAGAGUUGACCGACCACAUGCUCAACAAACUCAUCCGUGUCUCUGGCAAUUGCGAGCAGAGCAUUGACUACAAGUGUAACAGAGCCCCGCUGAGACUUGGACGCGAGACCUGGUUCACAUCAAUCACGGGAGUUCACUUCAGUGGUCUUGGGUCGCCCAACAACCAGCACUGUGGAUGUGCAGACAACCACACAUGUUCCAGCGGUUACUUCACGUGCAAUUGUGACAGGGGUUUGAGUGAAGACUUUAUGGAUGGCGGUGUUUACAAAGACAAGAAACAGCUGCCCAUCAAGGAGAUGUACUUCAUCCAGAAUGGUGAUGGCACAGGCACAAUCACGCUCGGGUCAUUACAGUGCUACGGCAGAGUGGAUGAGCUUGAGAAUGCCUUGACGUUUGGUGAGAAUGCCUCUCCUUUGGAAUUACCCGGCUGGGCCUCAGGCGAUCUCACGUUCUGGUUCAGGACUAACAAAGACAAGGCAGUCCUCUUGCACCAGAUGAGCCCUGAUGGGAAAUACUUUGAGAUCCGGCUGACUAACUCCAACACGAUCAUCUUCAACUUCACCACAAACCUGCGCUACCAUACAGUGAAUGUGAUCUCACCCCAGACCUUGAACUCGUCCGGGUGGCAAUAUGUAGCUGUGGAGUAUGACACCCUGCAGAUGAGGUUGACGGUCAACCUGCAGAAAGAAUGGGUGGACUUGUUGGAGGACCGAGGAGAAUAUGUGCUGCAGUUUGAUAAAGGACCGCUCUAUCUUGGUGGAACAGGAGGAAAUCAAAGUGAUGUUAACUUGAACUUCAUGGGCUGCAUGCAGGGUCUCAACUACAAUAGAGAAGUACAGAAUAUGACAAAGUUCCUUCGGAAGGGCAGGGUCGACAAAAACAUCCUUGCCGGUUGUACAACAUCCUGUAACCCAAACCCAUGCCGCUAUGGAUCAGUGUGCUCCGAGUUGUGGACAAAACAUAAAUGUUCCUGCAAGAACCCAAAGACCAUGUUUGGAGACAACUGUGAGAUAAACAUCAAUGAAGACGCUGUGUCAUUCGUUCGCAAUGGUGCCUUCAUGCUGUUCAGAGAACCCUACCGAGAAAACUACCUGAUGCAGAACGUGGUCAUCAGCUUUCGGACGUACCGCAGAGAUGGUCUGGUCUUUUACAUGUACGACCAUCUGAACAAUUUCAUCCAACUCUACGUGAAGGAUGACACGAAUUUGGUGUUCAUGUACAAUAGCGGCAUUCGGAUUGUCACGAGGAUAAUUCCUAUGUAUCCAGGAAUCAGCAACGGGGCAUGGCGGCAGUUCUCGGUCUACCAAACACAGACCGAACUGAAGCUGACACUGGAUGAUAAAACAUUUGUAUUCCAUGUCCAGAGAAUAGGCCUGGUGGCGUAUUCACAAGCUCCAUUCUUUGACAAAGAAACUGUCCAGCCCCCAAGAGGCAGGGUGAUGGAAUCAAGUAACGUGCAACUUUACCUGGGCAGCGUACCAUCCUCUUUCACCACAUCUGUUCCAUCAUUUAACGGGUGUGUCCGAGGAUUCAAGAUUGGAGAGAAGAUCUUCAAGCUCGGAGAUCAGUCAAGUGGGACUACGGGUGUGAAAAAGGAUUGUAUCAGCGGCUGUGAUUAUAAACCCUGCAUGAAUGGUGGCGUUUGUGUGGAAAGAUGGGAGGGCAAACAUGUCUGCAAUUGUUCGACUACAAGUUAUCGAGGCCCUUCAUGCACAUCUGUGCCCAAACAACCAGAGGUUGCAGCUACGUUCGACGGGCAGACGCAGGUCUCCUUUGACCUUGAUAACAACGACUGGGAUGGUGAAUAUGCCAGUACAGAGAGUAUAAGCCUGGCUUUUUCCACAUCGCAUAACUUUAUACAACACCAAGAGCAUGUGCUGGCAUUCCUCCAUGAGGGAGGCAGGGGUUUAACCCGCUACAUCUCCUUUGCUGUGACUGGCUAUCGGUCUGUUGCCGCACAGGUCUAUUUUGGAAAAGAAGUCUUCAAAAUAGAAAUAAAAGGUGUCUAUGAUGAUGGGUUCCGCCAUACGCUGAAAUAUCAUAGACAGUCGGAUAAAGUCACACUCAAGGUUGACAACAAAACAGUCAAAAGAGUCAUAGACAAGGGACCAUUCAAAUUUAGUCCCACACAGUUGAUAAUUGGCGGAUUUUCCACUGUACGGGGACAAACUUAUAUAAAUAUUCAUUCGGGUCUUCAUCAGAACUUCUCUGGCUGUAUAUCAAACGUGCACUACCAGGGUGGUAACCCAACUGCACCAUCCAUCUUCCCUCUCGAUGCUGCGUUCGGGUUAAUCGAGGGCAUGAAGUCGAGGACAACUCUCUCUGGGCGCCUCGUCAAGGCAGUCUGCGCAGCAUUCUUUAUACCUGUGAUACCUGUUAUUACUACAAAACCACCGUUUAUAGAUCAGUCUUACACAUUUCCGCCUUGGCCUGUUGGUCCGGCGGAUACGGUAGAGUACGGCGGAGGCCCUAAGGGUGCAAAUAUAGGCGAGGUGAUGACGGCCUCCACUUCCACCAUACUAAUUGUCAUCUCCCUGGUUGUCAUAAUGAUCAUUAUGGCGGUGGUCAUUGCCAUCAUUUUAUGCCGUGUGCAAAAACGCAAACGUAAAAAGAAGGAGCAGAAAGCAUACGAAAAAAUCGAGAUGCAGAAUGCACCGCCAAAACCGGACCGGUUUGUGUAUCGUGAAAACGGGACAAUACCACGAUUAAAACCUGCCACUUCGAGAGCAAGUGAUAUAGAUUAUCCUUCAAGUUAUCGAGGCUCGCCCGCGAGUACUCGUGCAAGUACUUUACCGACUCAUCGUUCAAAUCGGUCUUUGAACCCUUCGUUGAAUCGUUCUUUGAAUCCUUCGUUGAAUCGCUCUUUGAAUCCUGGAAUAUCGACUCAGUCAGGAUUAUUUGUGCCAAACAGCGCCACGCCGAUGACGGGGAGUCAGUUGAGUAUGUUGAGCCAGCGGAGCCGCCUUGCCAGUAUGGAGGAUCUGACGGCAGAUGAGCUAGACUCUCCUACCCCACCGCGGAAGAGAAAACAGCUCACUCCUAAUAGUGAACAUUAUGACGAAGAAUUUACAGACAUGCCAUUAAUCAAUCCAGAGACGACGGAGAUCAAGGCGCCCAAGCCGCAGCGCCCUCCAUCCUCCAUAUCUGAAGUCAUCGAGGAGAUGAAUAAAUUAACCAGUAACCUGCCAAUAUGGGAUUUAAGCUAAAUGUUCUAUAUUUGUUGAUGUCAGUCUUUAAAAAGUGGUUGAUCCUUUUCAUCUUCUGCAAGCCACACAUUAGAUGAAAUGUACAUCUAUAGAGUUGCUGCAGACAAGAAAGUGUGUGAUCUACCUAGGAAAUAUAGUGCAAUAUCUUAUAAAGGCCGUGCUUUGAAAGAUCAGUUGGCCUAUAACUUGCAUUGAUUUGAACAUUUCUUCUCAGAGAUCAAUUUCUUGGACUAUUGUUGAAGGCUGGGUAUAACAGUACCCUACUGAGCUGACAUAAAUAUAAAUAUUAUAAAUAUCAUCUAUGCCCCAACACUACAGCGAAAUCCAUGUAAAUCACAUUGUUAGAUCACAUGUUAUAUCCUACGAUGUUCCCCACCCCACUUUGACAAUCACUAUGGAACUUGACUUCCAAGUUGUGAAUUGGCAAGAUCGCUGUCUAGUAUAUAGUGCCUUUUCCAUUUUGUAGAUAUUCUUGGCUCAACUUGAGUAAUGCACGGUGGGCUGAAAGUAUCCAAAGUACGAUUUCACAGCAAAAAUAUUGUGUCAUGAACUAUAAAGUACUUUGGCUCUAUUCAUACCUCAGGGGAAAAUGAAGUAAUUACAUACUUCAUUUGACUAACUUCAAGACAAGUCUUGGAAUUUAGGAGCUGUUGAUUUCUUUUAAUGGGAAGAAUGUGAAAAAAGGAAACUUUUUAUGCCCACACUGUAAUACUCAAGAGAAUAUUGUAUACAGGGUGAUUCAAUGAAAAUCUAAUCCUGAAACCUUUGCACUUGUUGGACAUUAUGAAUAUCACUUUAUAAAAGGAGAAAGAGCUGUUAGACCAUCCACACUGAGUGCUAAAAGUGACAGUGAAAUAUGAUUAGCAGUGGAAGUAAGAAGUCACUAUAGCUCAGGUAGUGAACUUUGCUGCCGGUGAAAAAGGCUCACUUUUGGUUCUUGCUGUGUGGAUGAGGCCUUGAAUAUAGAUGAUUUUCAGCGACAGGAUGACGUCGAGAAGGACAUCCCAUCAAACACAGAGUUUGGUGAGCUGUUGUAGAGUGGAGAAAACACUUCAAAAUCUGCAACCCAGCUCAAAUCAGAGUCGACCUGGAGCCUGUCUGAAAAACAUGUAUAUAAGUUCUUUUUCAUUGGCUCACCCUGUAAGAUAUUUUUCACCCUAUAAAGAACUUGACUUUUGCAUUAUUCACAGUGUCUGUACUGGGUGACUCAUGGUUCUUGUUAGGGUGGAAAACAUUAUACAUAAAUCUGUAACAUAAAUUUUCCAUUUAUGUGUGAUUAAUUUGAAGUUCUGAGUUUUUCAUAUUGUACGAAGAUAUUAAAUGGUAAUUCUGGUGUGAAAUGGGCCUAUCUGGAGUUGGUAUAAGGAGAGAUCAUUGUAAAAAUCGUUUAAGGGGGCACCAUUGAGUGAUUAUUUUUGUACAGGGGAGUUGCAUACCCAUUUUAUGGUGUAACUUCUUGAUAGACUUUAAAUGGGCAAAUCUUUGCUAGGGGUGUCUACAUGUAUUCUACAUGUCAAUUUUUUUAUCCGAGGGAGUGGCCUUCAGCAUUUUCAUAAUUUUUAUUGGACUCUUUUGAAAAAUGAAAUCCUCGAAUUCCCCUUAUAAAGGGCUGUUAGUCAUUUUCCUGUAGCCUAUAUAAUAUAUAGCAUUAUGCAAGAAGUUUCCAACUUGGCAAAUGUAUAGUCUGUGAACGUGUGACCACUGUAUAAUUUACAGUUGUUUAGUGUAAUAUAUUGAAAUAAGCUUUUGUAUUUAUGAGUUCUUGUGGUUUAAACAUUUGUGACUUUUACACUUUUAUUUGUCAAAUGUUGGUUUGAUCUGCCUGGGAAAGCUGAAUGAAUAAGUGGGAUUUGGCAAUUUGGUGUGCACAAGGAAUCCACCAACCAGGAUUCCCGAGACCUGUUGAUACUAUAUCAGAUAUUUCAAGGGUUAUUUGAGAAGGACCGGCCUGAGCCAAGUGAGCUUGUAGACACCUCUCAUAGCACCCCUUUAUGUACCACAGCCACGCACAACUAAUAAACAGCUAACAUGUUUAACUUAGUAUGUUAAAAAUUACUAUUGGUGAUUGUAGCAAAGAGUUGACUCACUGCCAUAGGUAGGCUGACGAGUUCUUGAAAUUGAUUUGAUCAUGCGAGCAUGGGUAUCCCCUUCUCAAGGGCAACAUUGUGUCUUAAGCUUGAUGCAGGGGGUGUGCAAGACACGCUCUGUGGUAGACAUGGGGUGAUAUGAAUAAAGACGAGCAAAUGCUUUUUUCUAAAACUCUGCGUACAUUUACACUGGGCCUUCCUGUACAAAACCGGAGUAAAAGCAUUUACUAGUAUUUAUUCAUAUCACCCAUGGUGUUCCAUGGCAGAUCAGACUCACUUGAGAGCGAGGCAUGUUUUGUAGAUGUUCAGAACAUACUAUUAUAUUUGUUAUGAUAUCAAGACUGAACCUACUUGAACUCAAUAAAUUGUUUUGGAUAAAUUAGUGUGUUGCAUUAGAAAUGGUGACAAAUGUGCCUGAAACUGGAUAAUAACUGCCAGGACCACAGAUGGUGCUCUGCUAAGGAUUUCACUAAAAGAUGUUGGACAUGCAGCUGAUGGUCCCCUGGACAAUCUAUCCAAGAUUCAAUUCCUCCAACACAUGCCAUAUGACUAUAGUUCCUCAUCGAUUACCGAGACUGCCACAGGCCUACCAGGGUUGAUUGGAGAGAUGUGGUUCUGGUUGGGAGGGGGGGGGGGGGGGGGUCCUGCAAUAGCUAACAUGAUGUGGGCCAAUUUUCGAAAGGAAAUCAAGAACCGCAUCAACACCUUGAUGGUCAGAAAGGGAUAAAGUUUACAUUGUUUUCAUACAUGGACAUAGCGUUGCAGGUAAUAAUCAUUGAUGUUUUGCAUGGCUAGUGUAAAUGCAAUAGCUCUACAAAACAUUUUGUUCACCCUGUUUUGUUCUAGCAAUGAUACUGUAAAAUCUAUCAGGUGCUUUCAUGACUUUUAAUGCCUUGUGAUGAAAAAACCUUGCAGAAGUCCAAAUGUGACAGCUCCUGGCCGGUUUUGUAGUAUAUUAUGUUGUAGAUUUUGCUUCAUUUCUCUUGAUUGCUUGUUUCUGAAAGAUCUGUACUGUGUUAAACUUGAUUUGAUACUAAAUGCAUGUGCAUUUAAGGGACCAUCUCAAAAUAUUCUAGACUGUAACUACUCAAUGAGUCAUUUGGCUUGAAUUCUGUACGGCACGAUGAGGUGGAGUGGGAGAGGUACUCUAUCGACAGUUCGAGAAGAAGGUGAUUGAUUUCAUUUUGUGGCCUCAAUGUACUUUUUUUGCGGUGGUCUCCAAGCCUUUUCUCUCUUCUGUAGCAUCUGCAAAGAGCUGUCGUUACUCUUGUGAUGGCAGCACUGGUCUAAUCGAAGGGGAUGACCCAUUCUACUCCAAUUCUCUGAAGUUAAGAUCUGACAAUGAACCGGAAUGGGAGCCAGACACCAGUGAAGAGU